rnacentral:lncRNA from 1 species
UUUUAUUUUAUAUUUAUUACGCACUUUUACUCUUGUAAUGAUUCCUCCAUGUAACGAGCAUUCAGUCAACACUCCCACACCAGAUGGCAUAAGGUGUUAGGCAUCAAGACUCCCCUACGGACCUAUGCUCGGGUUCAUCAUCACAAGCCCGCUGACCUUUUAACGAUAGGUAGCCCUUUUCGAUGUACCUGACUAAAUUCACUUUUUUUUUUAGGAUAAUAGUGAAUUAAAUAGGUAUGAUUCAUCAGGACUCAAGGUUGCUACCAGACUUAACAACAUAAUGUUGAACUUAACCCUUAGAAGUGCAGGCCAUGUGUGUUGUGAAAUUCCAAAGUAAAAAUUAUCUUACAACUCACUAAAAGAACUUUUAAUGAAAAGAACUCAAAUAGUCUUACUCCUGACUAAUCAUUGAGCUUUUUAGAUUUUAUAUACUUUGUGUAUUUAUCAUUUCAGCACUAAGGCAUGGAAAUUAGGUGUUUUUUUUUAUAGGUAAAUCUUAUUCAAAAAUGCGAAAAUAAAAAUUUCUUCAAAAAUUUCAAUCUUAUUUGAUUCAACUGGAAAGAGCCAACGGCUCUGUUCUUUGGAUUUGGAAGAAAGAUACGGGAGCUAGAAGAUAAGGAUGAAGCAGGGGAGGAUGCAUUUGGACGUUGGGAAUUUCAUGAGAUCAAGCCGUGGACGAUGGGAUUCUAUUCUCGUCGGAAGAGGAGUUCUGUCUUGAGGUAGGGAAUAAUGUGGAUGAGGAGUUCUGUCUUGAGGUAGGGAAUAAUGUGGAUGAAACGAGCUGGGCGAUGGAGUUGGAUCCAUGCGGACAGUUUGAGCCGUGAUAAGAUGAUAUGAGCUGGGAGCAGGGGAUUUUGUUUGGAUGCUAGGAUCUAGCGGAAGAAAAGUGAAGGCUUGAACUCCGUUUUGUUAAGCUGGGAGGUGACGUGGAAGCUAGAAUGUUGCCCUGAGAAGAGAUGAGGCUUUGGGAUCUGUGCAACUAAGAUGGUAUGCCUUGGGAUCUAAAAGACAAAUAAUUGAAGGGAUUUUAUUAAAAUAGGAGAAUUGGAUCAUGUGGAAAAAGAGUUGGAACGAGUGGAAAGAAAUUUAGGUGAACGUGUGAAGAGUCAGGAAUUAAUGGGAAGCACUGGGUUUUGGAGAAGAGUUCUUGGAGUCGACUCUAGAGGAUGUAAAAUGAUGCAAUGUAGUUUAGGCUUUACCUAAUUAAGCGUGACUUAACCUGCAUACAUUAAGCUCAAUCCGUAAAUAAGUAAAACUCGAAUUACCUUUAAUAAUUUAUUAAAAUGCAAUGAUAAAGGUAACACAAUUUUUUAAUUGAAUUUACAAAAUAUGUGAAUUAAAAUAAUGAUAAGUGCUAUGAAUAAGAUAUUAAUUUAUGUAUUAUUUAGCACUUAUCA